rnacentral:lncRNA from 1 species
UUUCAGUAACAAUGAACUUUUCCUAUACGAAUAUUGGUGACAAUAUUUUUUAAAGGCUACACCUAAAUAUCUAUAAACUAUAAAUACCAGAGAGUAUUAGCAUAUAAUUAUAUCACACUUCUGUUAAAGAGUAAUAAAGGCCUUUCUUUCCCACCAGCAAGCUCAUUUUUGUUACCACAAGCACAGCUGUGAUAAACAUACAGUCUUAUCAGGCCUUCAUUCCCAUUCUCCUUGUCAUCCAUUGUUACUGUUAACAAAGCACAAAGACAUCCAAACAAAGCAACUCUGUGGUUGGAACUGCAGUUCUGCCUUUGGCAGAGAAAGUUCCCCACCCUGGCCGCCCCACACCCAAGUGACUUGGCAGACGGUGAAUGGGCCCCUUAACCAGGCAGUCCUGCUCUAAGGAAAAACGCCUAAGGGUCUUAGAGAAGUUCUUACACCCAACCAAUGAUCCCCUCUUCAAAAUAAAUCCAAAGGAAAGCCAGAGUGGAACAAAUUUCAUCAUUCAAGCUUAUGAUGGCUUUAUUUUUUCAUCCCAGANACUAUAUUAGCAAACAACUGUUCCACUGGAAAAAAAAAAAGAAAGGAUUAGGGUUGGAGACUUUCACCAACAAAGAACUUUUCCUAUACGAAUAUUGGUGACAAUAUUUUUUAAAGGCUACACCUAAAUAUCUAUAAACUAUAAAUACCAGAGAGUAUUAGCAUAUAAUUAUAUCACACUUCUGUUAAAGAGUAAUAAAGGCUUUUCUUUCCCACCAGCAAGCUCAUUUUUGUUACCACAAGCACAGCUGUGAUAAACAUACAGUCUUAUCAGGCCUUCAUUCCCAUUCUCCUUGUCAUCCAUUGUUACUGUUAACAAAGCACAAAGACAUCCAAACAAAGCAACUCUGUGGUUGGAACUGCAGUUCUGCCUUUGGCAGAGAAAGUUCCCCACCCUGGCCGCCCCACACCCAAGUGACUUGGCAGACGGUGAAUGGGCCCCUUAACCAGGCAGUCCUGCUCUAAGGAAAAACGCCUAAGGGUCUUAGAGAAGUUCUUACACCCAACCAAUGAUCCCCUCUUCAAAAAUAAAUCCAAAGGAAAGCCAGAAGUGGAACAAAAUUUCAUCAUUCAAACUUAUGAUGGCUUUAUUUUUUCAUCCCAGAACCAUUAAUGUCUA